rnacentral:lncRNA from 1 species
ACUUUUUUUUUUUAAUACUGGUUAAACCUUAGAAGUCUGGCCCUUGGUAGCCAUAUUACUGAAGUCUCUAUUAUAAAAACUUAAAUAUCUGGAAAAGUUUCCAAAAACCUUGUUUCCAUGAGUAUAUUACUUUGGCAGAGACCUGGAUGGUGUUUAUUCUUUGGGAUACUGUGUGUGUGUGUAUGUGUGUGUGUACAUACACACACUCAUGCAUGUGUGUGCUCGUGUGCUUGUAUUUUGAAAUUGUUGCACUUGAAAAUCACAGCUGCUCUAAAUUCUUAAACACUGGACAGCCAUCCUUUGGUUUUAAAUGGUGGAGGGUUAGUAGAAGCAUACAAUGCUGGUUUUAGCCCAAGGGCCCUUUAAAGCCAUUGGAUAGUAACCGGUUCUUACUAGCCAACUCAAAAAUUCUUUUGUUGACUGAAUGUCUCUUUUAGUAGGGUUUGUUCCUGAAAGAGAAUACUAUUUUGUUGUUGUUGUUGUUCUUUCAACUUUGGCUUGGGUGACUUGCUCUCUCCUGAGCACUCUCAUGUCUUUAGUUGUAGGGGAAAAGAUGAUGGAAGUGAAGGGAACUGGACUUGAUGUUUAUGGUUUGAGAGAGGAGAAAUUAAGUUUUAAUUAAGAACUAACUUUCUACCUCUAAACUGAGGCUUAGGAGUAAAGAAAAAAAAUUAUCUUAAAUUUAUCAUUUCAAUUUCAUUUCAAAUAGCAUCAGUAACUUUUGAGCUCAUGUCAAGCAUUGGGCAGUUAGAGAUUUUUAUAGACAGGACUAAAUAAAUCCAGUUCCUAAGAACCCAGGCUGAAUGAGGCUCCAAGAAUCAGACCAACAUGUUUUAUUCUGUGUUGAGUUUACUGGUAAGAAUAUUAUUAUUCUUGAUACUACCUCUCAAAGGUAUUGUUACAAAAUGCCACUUAUUAACUGAACGUUAAAGAGAUAGAUACAAAGAGUUAUAUUUGAAAGAAGCUUGAUGAAACUCUGGCAUCUAUCUGCCCAACAAUGGGGGCUUUCACUCUGUAAUUUAAUAUUUUGUAGAUACAUUAUUUGUGUGUAAUUUUAUAAGUGUUCAUAUUUUUCUCAUUUUGCAUUGUGUAAAGUGUACAAAAUCUCAAAGUAUAAAAUACUGCUUAUAUUGCUUGUAAUUAUAGUGUGUAAAUAUUUUCUAAUUGUGUACAUUGACGGGGUGGGGGACAAGUGGGUUAUUCAGGUUUUUUUUUAAGUGACCCUUUUGUAUUGCAGUUUCAACAGAUAACUGCCCAUCAAAUUUAAAACCACUUUGAUACAUUUUUAUUUAGCAGUUCCAAUAAGAAAAAUCUCUAUUUUUAAUUGUCUUUCUCCAUUAAAAGAAAACUAUUUCAUCUGUCCCUUUAAAAUAAAUGGCCAGACAUCAGUUUAGGCCCUUUUAUUUAUGACUCUGGUAGACAUCUUCAGUCUCCAGGUUAUAGUCCAGUCAGCAUUUGCAUUUGGGUUCUCAGAAAUUUUGUGAUUCUGUUUUAGCACAAGUAGCCCAUGGUUUUUCUCCCAAAUAAAGUAUUUUCCUUCACCCUCUUGAGUCCCCAUGCUUUGUCUCCCUCCUCUUGUUGCCCAGUGAAUGGGAUGUUAGAGAGGGAGAAAAUGUUCAUUGCACAGAGAAUGUCAGGCUGCUUUUGGGACUUGGCAAACAAAGCUUGCACUGAGUGGUGGUGUGUUUGGCAAUAUUACUGUGCCAAAAUUCACCUUGUUUAAUUAUCUGGAUAUAUAUAUGUCAAACUUAUUACCCUUAUUGCAAGCUGAAAAUUAAGAUACUUGUGUUUAUGCUUUUGUGUGUAACCAUUUGCCUUUUCUAACCUGCUUUUCUUGUUAGCUGAAAAUAUAGUUCUGUUAGUUAAGUGAAGAGGCUCAUGCAGAAAACACAUCUACGUAGCAGUAAAGUAACAGCAUUUGUACUUUUGCUGUCUGUCUCCUGAUGGCAGUGGUGCCUUUGUCACCUUUGGAAGGUUGGCGCUUUGUUUUCGUUUUGAAAUGCAAGUAGUAGCUUGCUUUUUACUUCACAAAAUCUCCCCAGAUGUAAAAGAUAGGUAAUGGCAUGUUAUCAUCCAGACUUAGUUGGAGCAUUUGCAUUUUUAUUUUUAUUAAAACAGAUUAUAGUUGGUGAGGACUGGCCACUAAUAAUGUGUAGGGUCUUUAAGAAUAAUUUUUAAAUUAAAGAAAUAAUAAAAUUUUUGAGAAGUGACCCAUUAACAAGUGACUUGAGUUGGAGAAUUAGAAGUUGACUCUUCUGGUUUGUCUCUGAGGGGGCAAGAAUAGGUACAGGUGGCUGGCCAUGUAGAGCAGUUAAGCAUGAUCUUGGUGGUUAUUUCUCACUCAUCAGCAGUGUUGGUGCACCUCAUUAUCUGUGCAUUUGUUUUCUUAAGAGUCGUGUCAGCCAGUGAGUCCACCAGUUCUUAGGUAGUAAAUGCAGAUUUCCCUUUUUUCGUUCAUUUUUUUUUCUUUUUAAGAUUUUAUACUACAUCUUGUUUAAAGUCCUAUGAAUGUAUGUGUGUGUUAUUAAAACUGCUUUUUCUCAGUUUGAACAUGUGUUUGGUAAUAUUUGUUUGGGGUUGGUAUCUGGAAUUCCCUGUUGAUUCCCUUACUCAUCC